UUACUUUAGCACUUCUUCUUCUUCUUCUUCAUGAUUUCUUCUAAAACCCUAAUUUCAGACAUUUCAUACAUGGUGAUAUGCAGAUGUGCGAAUCCUGGAAGACGAUUCCCGAUUAGGGUAAGUUUUUCUAAAGUGCAAGAAAGGUUAUUAUUUGUUGCUGGCAAAGGUCCGUUCUCUCUUUCACGAUCAAAACUCCAUUUCCUUUAUAAUUUCUACAUAAUUUAACUUAAUUAGUGGACUCACGCGUGUUAGAUCGAACCAUAGAUUUCAAUGUCGAUUUCACGCACAGGCUAAGUGCUGCUAUGAUGAUUCAUUCUUUUGGAUCAACCUCCUCAGAAUUUGAAUAAUAUAGAUGGAAUCGAGUUAGGCACACCAAGUGUUCAACGAAAUCACCCUCGCUUUUGUACAGGGAAAUGAAUGUAAGUAUUGCCAUAGUGAUAUCACGCAGGUUAACCAUAGGAUUGCUGGUAGUGGUAAAAGGAAAUUGUUUGAAUCCAAAAUGUGCUUUCUGUCAUCCUGUAAGUUUCUAUAGUUGAAGAACAAAAGUCUACACAAGAUGGCAUUUGGGCACUGCUGGUGAAGUUUAAGAACUUGGGUUUGUAAUGUUGUAUAAAAUCUAAGGACUUGAUAUGAUCUCUCUAAUAGAUAUAACACAAGAGUUGA